CAAGAGGUCGUUUUAUAAACAAUUACUGAGGUUAGGGCUCUUUAUAUUGUCUUGGUUUCAUCCUAAAAUGUUUCUAUACUUAGGGUCGCCAAGGAAGCCAGAGUGGAGGCUGUCGGAAGGGUGGGUUUGAAUGAACUUUGGCUGCUCCAUCAAGCAGGCUGAUUACUGAGGAAACAUCAAAAGCUUCACCCGAGUGACUCAUCACCCAGAUCCAACAGAGAUUCCACUCUUAAAAUUCACUGCAUAGUCUCUACAGACAAGAAGCAAAGGUUCUGCACGGCUACAGCCUUUCAGUUAAAAGACAAGGAAUCCAUAUUUUCCUUCAUUUUACUUUUAGACAGCCAGUAUGUUUUAUAGUCUCUCACAUGCUUUUCUUCUCUCAAAGACAUUUUCAAGUUUAAUAAUAUAUUUUUAAAAAGAUAAUUUUCAGGUAAUUCAAUUUUGAAAUCCUAUAGACUUUAAAAUAAAUGCAAGGAAUCAAGAAAAGUCUCA
rnacentral:lncRNA from 1 species